rnacentral:rRNA from 1 species
ACACCGGCAGCUCUAGUGGUAGCAGUUUUUAUUGGGCCUAAAGCGUCCGUAGCCGGUUUAAUAAGUCUCUGGUGAAAUCCUGUAGCUUAACUGUGGGAAUUGCUGGAGAUACUAUUAGACUUGAGACCGGGAGAGGUUAGAGGUACUCCCAGGGUAGAGGUGCAAUUCUGUAAUCCUGGGAGGACCGCCUGGUGCGAAGGCGUCUAACUGGAACGGUUCUGACGGUGAGGGACGAAAGUUAGGGGCGCGAACCGGAUUAGAUACCCGGGUAGUCCUAACUGUAAACGAUGCGGACUUGGUGUUGGGGUGGCUUUGAGCUGCUCCAGUGCUGAAGGGAAGCUGUUAAGUCCGCCGCCUGGGAAGUACGGUCGCAAGACUGAAACUUAAAGGAAUUGGCGGGG